rnacentral:tRNA from 1 species
AACCUACUAGCUCAAUAGGUAAAACAUUGUGUAAAUGCACAAAGGUUGUUGGUUCAAAUCCCACGUAGGUUG